GGGGAACCAGNACUUUUACUGUGAAAAAAUUAGAGUGUUCAAAGCAGGCCUAUGCUCGAAUACAUUAGCAUGGAAUAAUGAAAUAGGACGUGCGGUUCUAUUUUGUUGGUUUAUGGGACCGCCGUAAUGAUUAAUAGGGACAGUCGGGGGCGUCAGUAUUCGGUGGUCAGAGGUGAAAUUCUUGGACCCACCGAAGACUAACUACUGCGAAAGCAUUCGCCAAGGAUGUUUUCAUUAAUCAGGAACGAAAGUUAGGGGAUCGAAAACGAUCAGAUACCGUUGUAGUCUUAACCAUAAACUAUGCCGACUAGGGAUCGGGCGAUGUUGCUUACUGACUCGCUCGGCACCUUUCGAGAAAUCAAAGUCUGUGGGUUCC
rnacentral:rRNA from 1 species